GAUGAACGCUGGCGGCGUGCCUAAUACAUGCAAGUCGAGCGCGAGAAUGAGGAGCUUGCUCCUCAUAAUCGAGCGGCGGACGGGUGAGUAACACGUAGGCAACCUACCCUUGAGAUUGGGAUAACUACCGGAAACGGUAGCUAAUACCGGAUACGACUUUUCAACACAAGUGGAAUUGUUAAACGGCCUCUUGCUGUCGCUAAAAGAUGAGCUUGCGUACUAUUAGUUAGUUGGUAGGGUAAAGGCCUACCAAGACAAUGAUGGUUAGCCGACCUGAGAGGGUGAUCGGCCACAUUGGGACUGAGAUACGGCCCUGACUCCUACGGGAGGCAGCAGUGAGGAAUUUUGCGCAAUGGACGAAAGUCUGACGCAGCAACGCCGCGUGAAGGAUGAAGGUCUUAGGAUUGUAAACUUCUGUUUAUCGGGAAGAAAUGGUAAAAAGUAAUAUUUUUUGCCGCUGACGUUACCGAUAUAGAAAGCUCCGGCUAACUUCGUGCCAGCAGCCGCGGUAA
rnacentral:rRNA from 1 species